UGGCGGUGCUUGCACCAAAGAGAUUUCACAAUGAGACGAGUGGCGAACUGGUGAGUAACACGUGGGGAACCUGCCCAUAAGCAGGGGAUAACACUUGGAAACAGGUGCUAAUACCGUAUAACAAUGUAAACCGCAUGGUUUACAUUUGAAAGAUGGUUUCGGCUAUCACUUAUGGAUGGACCCGCGGCGCAUUAGCUAGUUGGUGAGGUAACGGCUCACCAAGGCAAUGAUGCGUAGCCGACCUGAGAGGGUAAUCGGCCACAUUGGGACUGAGACACGGCCCAAACUCCUACGGGAGGCAGCAGUAGGGAAUCUUCCACAAUGGACGAAAGUCUGAUGGAGCAACGCCGCGUGAGUGAAGAAGGGUUUCGGCUCGUAAAACUCUGUUGUUGGAGAAGAACGUGGAUGAGAGUAACUGUUCAUUCAGUGACGGUAUCCAACCAGAAAGCCACGGCUAACUACGUGCCAGCAGCCGCGGUAAUACGUAGGUGGCAAGCGUU
rnacentral:rRNA from 1 species